rnacentral:rRNA from 1 species
GAUGAACGCUGGCGGCGUGCUUAACACAUGCAAGUCGAACGGAAAGGCCCAAGCUUGCUUGGGUACUCGAGUGGCGAACGGGUGAGUAACCCGUGGGUGAUCUGCCCUGCACUUCGGGAUAAGCCUGGGAAACUGGGUCUAAUACCGGAUAGGACCACUUCUUGGAUGUUGUGGUGGAAAGUUUUUUCGGUGUGGGAUGAGCUCGCGGCCUAUCAGCUUGUUGGUGGGGUAAUGGCCUACCAAGGCGUCGACGGGUAGCCGGCCUGAGAGGGUGUACGGCCACAUUGGGACUGAGAUACGGCCCAGACUCCUACGGGAGGCAGCAGUGGGGUAUAUUGCACAAUGGGCGCAAGCCUGAUGCAGCGACGCCGCGUGGGGGAUGACGGCCUUCGGGUUGUAAACUCCUUUCGCUAGGGACGAAGCGUUUUGUGACGGUACCUGGAGAAGAAGCACCGGCUAACUACGUG